AUGAACGCUGGCGGCGUGCCUAAUACAUGCAAGUCGAGCGAACAGACGAGGAGCUUGCUCCUCUGACGUUAGCGGCGGACGGGUGAGUAACACGUGGAUAACCUACCUAUAAGACUGGGAUAACUUCGGGAAACCGGAGCUAAUACCGGAUAAUAUAUUGAACCGCAUGGUUCAAUAGUGAAAGACGGUUUUGCUGUCACUUAUAGAUGGAUCCGCGCCGCAUUAGCGAGUUGGUAAGGUAACGGCUUACCAAGGCAACGAUGCGUAGCCGACCUGAGAGGGUGAUCGGCCACACUGGAGCUGAGACACGGUCCAGACUCCUACGGGAGGCAGCAGUAGGGAAUCUUCCGCAAUGGGCGAAAGCCUGACGGAGCAACGCCGCGUGAGUGAUGAAGGUCUUCGGAUCGUAAAACUCUGUUAUUAGGGAAUAACAAAUGUGUAAGUAACUAUGCACGUCUUGACGGUACCUAAUCAGAAAGCCACGGCUACCUACGU
rnacentral:rRNA from 1 species